GUGCAUUGAACUUAAGAUUCAAAUAUAAAGUAUUUUUAAACUUUUAUUAA
rnacentral:tRNA from 1 species